AGUGAACGCUGGCGGUAGGCCUAACACAUGCAAGUCGAACGGCAGCACAGUAAGAGCUUGCUCUUACGGGUGGCGAGUGGCGGACGGGUGAGGAAUACAUCGGAAUCUACUUUUUCGUGGGGGAUAACGUAGGGAAACUUACGCUAAUACCGCAUACGACCUACGGGUGAAAGCAGGGGAUCUUCGGACCUUGCGCGAUUGAAUGAGCCGAUGUCGGAUUAGCUAGUUGGCGGGGUAAAGGCCCACCAAGGCGACGAUCCGUAGCUGGUCUGAGAGGAUGAUCAGCCACACUGGAACUGAGACACGGUCCAGACUCCUACGGGAGGCAGCAGUGGGGAAUAUUGGACAAUGGGCGCAAGCCUGAUCCAGCCAUACCGCGUGGGUGAAGAAGGCCUUCGGGUUGUAAAGCCCUUUUGUUGGGAAAGAAAAGCAGCAGGUUAAUACCCCGCUGUUCCGACGGUACCCAAAGAAUAGGCACCGGCUAACUUCGUG
rnacentral:rRNA from 1 species